rnacentral:misc_RNA from 1 species
ACGCGCGCCAGCAGCGGCGCAGAGGCGGUGUUGGCGUCGACACCGACGGCAUUCACACAGUCUUCCACCACGGCAUCGAGCGAGCGGGAGAGUUUCGUCUCGCCGAGAUCGUGCUGAUACUGUCCGACGCCGAUGGAUUUCGGAUCGAUCUUGACCAGUUCGGCCAGCGGAUCCUGCAAUCGGCGUGCGAUGGACACCGCGCCGCGCAGCG